rnacentral:tRNA from 1 species
GGGGGGAAGGGUUAGUGGUAGAGCACAUGUUUACCGUGCACAAGGUCCUGGGUUCAAUCCCCAGUACCUCCA